UCACUUCUGCAGGGUAGGAUGAUUCAUUUUAUGUGUUCAUAUAGCUGAUUAUUAUUGCUUGCAUUACAAAUCCAGAUUAGGAGCGUCUAUAUAGCGUCUUUGACCUCACACGAGACACUGAAGCUGCUACAUUCAGGAACUGCUGGAUACAACAAUCUUUUUGAAAUGCAGAAUUAUCAGAGACACGGUGAGAGCAUUCCCUGUUGAGAGACCUUAUUUUUUCAUUUAUUUAUUUAAAAAACGUCAGUGAUGAAUUAGAAUCAACUUAGAUCUAAUAGCACAGCUGAUCAGGACUUCUUUGUUUUUACUUAAAAUUCUGUUCAAACUCACUGAUUAACCGUUCAUUUCACUCAACUCACAACAAUAUUCUUAAAGGUUCUUUUAUAUUUCUGUGUAAGUGAUUAAUUACUGCAGAUGUGUUUGGAUCAUAGUUUAGGACACAAACUUUAUUCUGCUGAUUUUGAGAGAAAGUCUGCUGAAUGGCUUUAUAUUUGUUAGUCGUGAGCUGAGAGUACUACACUCUUGUUGGUAGCUGAAAACUCCCAUCAAAGUAGCCAUAUUGAAUAAUUAUGCAGAGUUCAUGAGGAAAUGAGCUGAUUUAUUUAAAGUUCGGCUGGUUUUAGUUCUCACUAUAUGUUCCUUCUUGGUUUUGCAUUUUUCAGUUUUUCUGUAAUUGUGUGUUUGAUAUUAAAAAUAUCCUUCUUUGCAUUAGCCUACAAGUGCACCAUUGUUAGAGUAAAACCAGUCAUGAUCUUUACUUCUUUUUUUAGCAGAAAGAAUGAUGAGAACCCUGUAUAAUUUGUCUGAUCUGAGAGAGUCCAGGUUUGGUCAGCCUCCUCCCAGACACGGUCUGAUCUUGCUGUGGUGGUUUGAUCAUGAAUGUGUUCAAAUUGACUCCAAUGUUCAUAUAAUUGCUUGCUGCAGCCCUGCAAAUGGAGCUUUUGGCAACCCUUCAAAUGGAGCCUUCAGCUGAAUCAUCCAUCCAUUUUCCAAACCGCUGGUCCAAUGUGGCUACAGCGUAAUAUCAUAUUCUACAAGUAUAAAUUGCUUUAUAAUUUAUUAUUAAAUAGUUUAAUAAGGUUUAUACAUGCAAGUUUCCAUGACUGAUUCAAGAUAAAUAUUUUAAUUACUACAGGAGCUGCCAAUUUGCUAAGUUUCAAAUGAUAUUAAACGACAAGCAAGAAAAAAAAAAGAAGCAAAACUAUGCAAAAGCGACAGCCCUUCCAAUGCACUCAGUGUCUGAAUUCACUCACCCAUUUUCAUUCACUCACUAUAUUAAAGAAGUAAUGCAGGGGAUUGUGAAUGAGGUAUAAGGAGUGAUUAUUUUCACAGUUUGUUUUUAAUUAUGAAGCUGUGUAUUGCAACUUGUCUCCAAUUGGACAAAUGGCUUAUUUGGAUGCUAAAUUAUUAUAAUCUAUGAUGUUUAUAUAAUUAUAAAUAUAUGCUUGUUCUAUAAAUUUAAGAUAUGGUGUUGUUGAGCUUUGGAUAUUUAUCACUUGAUUCUUUUAAUGAUUUAUUACAAUGAUGUAGAUAAAUAUUUCAGACAGAAGGUGAAACUUUAAUAUGAAAUCUGAAUAUGAGUGAGACAUUAUAGUUGAAUCUAAACUAGCUUUAAUGUAAAUCCCAUCAUGAACAGUCCCUAAUGUGUUUUUGCAUAAGUUUUGCUUUCUGCAUGAUGAGUUUCUGUUCAUCAAAACAGCAACACACAUACAACCUGUGGGACAACUAAUGUUUGUUACUUACUAUAGAGUAGUUUAUGCAGUGUUGUCAUGUCAUAUAAAUGAGGCAGUCAGUGCCAAAGAUCUAAUAAGGCUACAAGAUAUGGUGAAUCAGUGCACUACAGAUUAACCCUUCAUCUCACUGCAUUCAUUUUGUAAUUUUGGAGGAUCAGUUUUUCUCAGCUCAUUAAUUGUCAGGAACAGGAUGAGGACCCUGUAUGAUUUGUCUGAUCUGAAAGAGUCCAGGUUUGGUCAGCCGCCUCCCAGACACGGUCUGAUCUUGCUGUGGUGGUUUGCUCAUGAAUGUGUUCAGAUCGACUCCAAUGAUCGUAUGAUUGCUCAGUGCGACCCUGAAAAUGGAGCUUUUGGCUUCCACCGAUUCUAUAAUAGGGAAAGACUUCUUCCUUACACUGACCUCCCAUACUAUGAAGUGGGCAACCUGCACAUCACUGACUCUCUGCCACUGUAUGUCACUCAGUAUUACACAGGAUAUAUAGACAACAGCAACACUGAUCGCAUCAUUGUUUUAUUUAACUCUAUGUGGAACAGAUUUGACAGCGUUUAUGUGACACAGCACUCAGAUCUUGUGAAGUUUGACCAGAAUCACACUUACUGCAUUAGCAUCAAACUCAUGAAGGACAUUAAAGAUUUGAGCCGUGAGGAUUUCCUCAGAGAACCCAUCCUUCCACAACGACCCAAUCCUCCUGAGUAUUUGGCCAUAGACAUAAUUAACGGAGGCCAUUCGCAAACAAGACCGAACAUCACAGUCACAUGCACACCUCAGCCAGUGCAAAGCAAAACCUGUCUGAGUGAGAAAUGCUACUGUGUGCUGAUUUGUGUCUUGAUUUUACUGUUGCUCAUUAUUGCUGCUAUCGUCUUUUUAUUGUAUAAAAUGAAAUAGUUUUCAUCCACUGCUGUUUGUUUGUUGAGCGUUGCAUGUUUAUCACUGCAUUCUUUUUAAUAGUUUAUUGCAAUGAUGUAAAUAUUCAAGAUUUAGAAGGACCAAAUGUAAAACUGUAAGAAUCAAUCUUAAUAUUGAUAUUAAUCUGAAUAUUGCGUGACACACUCCAAUCAGUGUGUUCAGUGGUUACGCCUUGAUUUAUAGUAAUUUCGUUUCAUAUUUAUUGUGCUUACUCUUUGACAUAUACAAAAAGAGAAUGUAUUAAAACUCCAAAAACCAUUGACUUUAGUUUUUUUAUUCAACAAUUGUAAACUUGUCUUUUUCUUUGCCAUCAAUAUACAUGUAUGAUUAAAUAUAAAUCUUAAGAAAUCAUAAUACAUUUUAAUGUGAAU